AAAGCCGGACGGUAAGCUGGUUUUGGACGUGUCUAAAAACUGGACGGUAAGCUGGUUUUGGACGUGUCUAAAAGCCGGACGGUAAGCUGGUUUUGGACGUGUCUCGGGUUGCUGACCUUGGCAGGCACCGUUACUCCUGUCUGUCUCACUCCGCCGUCUCUCACUUGAUGUCUCCCUUCUUCUCCUCCUCGCUCCCUCUCUCCUCUGCUCUCUGUUCCCCUCCCUUCACAUCCUCUGCUUUGCAUGCUGACGGCUCUCUACCUCCUCCUGACCUGCAGGAGGAUGUGUAACCGGACAAGGUUGAACCUCAGUCCAUUUCAGGUUCUCUCUAGCAGGCCUCCUGGUCUUGGAACUGAGCCGGCCCAACCUGGAAUCGUCAUUGGUGAGGAUUUAGUGUUGUUUUAUUGUGAAACCUUUUCCUUGUGCUUUCUGAGGCUUCACAGGAUCAGCAGCUCUCCCACAACCAGCUGCAAUGGGUUUCACACACUGAUGCAGAAUGGCUGGAUUGUAGUUUGUUCGUGACGUGGUUCCACGUCCUGCUGAAACCGUGUGCCAUUCGAUCCGUCCCGGAGACUGGGUCCUGACUAAGAACCUCAAAAGGAUGCACUGUGGGUCCCAGCGGUUCUGUGGACCCCUUCCAGGCUGGUGCCCAUUUCAUCGGAGUCCAGGGACACGUCAGGUGCCCCCCCCGAGGGUGCAGCUGUAUCGCCUGGCCCUUAGCCUGAGAAGGAGCCUAGCAACGGGACGUCGUGGCCCCGGACAGAGCGGGUGAGCCUAGCAACUGGACGUUGUGGCCCCGGACAGAGCGGGUGUGCAGUUCAUUUUCCCUGUGGGAAAAAGGAAUGGAACCCUGGAUGCAUCAACACCGUCUCCCACCUGCACAUUUGGUGGUGUUUCAGUGCAGAGGUUGGUGUCUGCCUCUGUUUGUUUUAGCAGCACUGUUUUCGCUACUGUACGUGCUGUCUGCCCUGACAGCAGGAGUUUCACCUGUUCCUCCUUCACCUUCACCUGGUACGUUUUCAGUUCCUGAGUUAGACUGCGACGCCAUGUCAUCAAUCAUCAUGACGAACAUGACAACUUGUGGUAUGCACUUGCUAAGCAGACCACAACCAAAGUGAUUAAUAGCACAUGUUACGUGUGUUCUCUGAUCCCUCAUGCCACACCGACUGGAGACGGGAGAGCGGCUGGUGCUAUCCUUCCUGGCUGCCAGAUCAGUGGGUAAAUCUAACAGUACACAUUUCCUCCAUGCUUCUUUGCUUCUGAAGUUUUGUCCAUGGAUGCAUGAUUUUUCAUUUCAGUCUAUUAGGUUUCACAGAGACUUCUCCAGCAAGACUGAUCACCUGAUUUCUAAGUCUGUGACGCCUUCUAGUUCUGUACAUGCAGUGGCUGCCCCGUUGUGUUUUGAGAUGCCUUGGUUUGAUGUGUAUAUGCUUUUAGGGGUAAGCAGUACCUGUAAUCACACCAUCCUUGCUUCAUGUGGGUUUUUUUUACUGCUGGAUAGACCUCCCUGUAAGGAUCCUAAUUUUAUGUUGUGUGCAGGAGAGAGUAAUGUUAAGUUGUCCUGGUUUGUCCAUAUUUAACUCUUCUAUCUCCAUCUUUUAUCUCUUCUAUCUCCGUCUUCUAUCUCUUCUAUCUCCGUCUUCUAUCUCUUCUAUCUCCAUCUUUUAUCUCUUCUAUCUCCAUCUCCUGAGGGUUAUAGUUGUCCAACUAAUGUGGGUUGGGUUUGCAGUUCAAAGUCCUUUUUGUAUCUGCCUAGAAAUUGGUGUGGUAGACGCUAUCUAUCUUAUCUCAUCCCUCACCUCCGUGUGUUGUCAGAUCUUUCAGGGGUUCUCGCUCCUCCUCAUAUGACUACAAGGGCUCGUAUCUCCAUCACUAACUCAGUGCUUGGGGGGUGUUUUUUCCACACUAUGGUACAGUUAACAAUGCUUUUCAAAUGGACGCAUUAGCUGUAGAGUUACAAAGUCUCACUUUUCUAAAACUAAGGGGUUCGACGUGUUAGAUUACAUUAGAUUAGAUAAACUUUAUUGAUCCCACGGACGGGAAAUUCACUUAUUACGGCAGCAUUUAAAAAGUGAAAGAUAAAAAAGAAAAGAAUAAAUAGAUAAACUUAAGAGUUCAAUAUAACACAAUAAACAUAAAGAAAACAAUAACAGAAUAAGGUGACGGUAUAAAUGACUGUGUAAACAGUGUAAACAGACUACAACAUGACAGCCUGGUUCAGGGGUUACAGAUUGUUGUAGAGUCUGACAGCAGUUGGGAUGAAGGAUCGGCGGAGCCUCUUUCUUACACCGUGGGUGUAACAGUCUGCUGCUGAAGGACCUGAGUUAAAGGCCCUCCGGGUCAUGACCCUGCAGAAUAGGAUGGCUCUGGACUUUCUCUUAGCUGAAAGGGGGGACCUGCAAGGUUAUAGGGGACGAGUGUUGUACAUUCAUUCCUGAUAUGUCUACUAAUCUGUCUUCUGUUCAUGUCACCUUAGAGAUCUGUUAUCUGGGAUGGAGGCUCGUGAUAGCUCUGGAUUUUCUUCUGAAUUAUGGUCUUGGUUUCAGUCAGGUGGCUGGUGGCAUAUCUUGCUCGCAGUUUUAGGCCCUAUUUUUGCUGUUCUGAUUACCUGCUGGCAUGUGGUGACUUUCGUCCCCUGGUGCCUCAAGGUUCUGAUAACAUCUGCGUUUCCUGGUCAUUCCCUCCAGAUGUUUGUUAGUGCUCAGGGCGAUUUUUCUAACACCCCGUUAGAUUUCCUGGUUUCUCCUCCCGCUUAGCCUCCCCGGAUCUGUUAUGAUGAUACUGGUCUUCCGCUUGAUUUUUCUAGUGAUGAUGAAGUUUAGGUUGUGUGGAUAGUUCUCUGUUUAGUCAUCUUAGUUUGCUCUUCUUCUCAUUCAUAUGUAUUCUGAUGUGUUUUUUUGUUGUUUUUUGCUGGAAAUCACAUGUGUUGAAUUGAGGUUGAUUUUUAUUUCCCCAUUCAGAGUUAUGAUGGAGUUUCUCGAAUCCUUGUGACUUUCAACUUCUGAUGUUUUGUCUGAAUGUAUAUUGGGAAAAUGGGGAGUUGAUUUGAUUGUUGAAUAUAAUCAUUACGGGUUUUUUUACUACAAAUACAUUACUUUUAUUACUUUUAUCUUUUAUGGGUUUUCUGUUUUUUUUGUUUUUUUUGUUUCCUCUGUCUUCCCAUUGUUUUUUUUGUUUCAAUUGUUUGCUUUUUUUUCUUUGUUUUUAUGUGUUCAUUAGCGGGUUGAUGUCACCGUGAGUUUUUGGGUUCACUAGCUGAUUGUGGUGUUCUCAUUUUUAUCCACUGUGCAUCUCUGCCUCAGUGGUUAUCGUUGUUUGAUGCAUUUUUGGUGUUUUUUUCUUUUAUGCUUUAAUCUUAUGAAAUUUUCUUUUCUGGUGUGAUCAAUAUGAAAUGGGUUUCAUUAUGAUCA